rnacentral:lncRNA from 1 species
CAGACAUAAACUGACAGACAUGAACAGCUUGGUGCACCAAGGACAGACAAUAGACAUAGAGGGAAAAACUAGAUGGUGUCCCACCGAAGGGACCCAGAUAUCCUACCUAUGGAACCCAGAACCAGAAAUAAGCAUUUCUCCAAUAGGAGCCAGCAGAGAGGCAGGACGUCUCCUACCUUUCUUCUGUUCCCAGGAGAGCUCUGAAAGUUUUUCUCUUUCUCCAAAGCAUCUGUGGAGAGUCUGGGAGGACUAUUUUUCCCAAACCCAUUCUCUCUCAUGUCUAGGGUGUAAACUAUCUCUAAUCAGGGUCCAAAGACUAAAACAUAACUCUAAAAGAAUGCAUAUACAAAAACACUUU